rnacentral:piRNA from 1 species
UAGGAUCAGGAACUGGCUUAUGGUUC